rnacentral:rRNA from 1 species
AGUGAACGCUGGCGGUAGGCCUAACACAUGCAAGUCGAACGGCAGCACAGUAAGAGCUUGCUCUUACGGGUGGCGAGUGGCGGACGGGUGAGGAAUACAUCGGAAUCUACUUUUUCGUGGGGGAUAACGUAGGGAAACUUACGCUAAUACCGCAUACGACCUACGGGUGAAAGCAGGGGAUCUUCGGACCUUGCGCGAUUGAAUGAGCCGAUGUCGGAUUAGCUAGUUGGCGGGGUAAAGGCCCACCAAGGCGACGAUCCGUAGCUGGUCUGAGAGGAUGACCAGCCACACUGGAACGGAGACCCGGUCCAGACCCCUACGGGAGGCAGCAGUGGGGAAUAUUGGACAAUGGGCGCAAGCCUGAUCCAGCCAUACCGCGUGGGUGAAGAAGGCCUUCGGGUUGUAAAGCCCUUUUGUUGGGAAAGAAAAGCAGCAGGUUAAUACCCCGCUGUUCUGACGGUACCCAAAGAAUAAGCACCGGCUAACUUCGU